rnacentral:rRNA from 1 species
AACGAACGCUGGCGGCAUGCCUAACACAUGCAAGUCGAACGAGACCUUCGGGUCUAGUGGCGCACGGGUGCGUAACGCGUGGGAACCUGCCCUUAGGUUCGGAAUAACUCCCCGAAAGGGGUGCUAAUACCGGAUAAUGUCUUCGGACCAAAGAUUUAUCGCCUUUGGAUGGGCCCGCGUUGGAUUAGCUAGUUGGUAGGGUAAAAGCCUACCAAGGCGACGAUCCAUAGCUGGUCUGAGAGGAUGAUCAGCGACCAUGGGACUGAGACACGGCCCAGUGUCCUACGGGAGGCAGCGGUGGGGAGUAUUGAACAAUGGGGGAGAGCCUAGGCCAGCAAUGCCGCGUGAGUGAAGAAGGCCUUAGGGUUGUAAAGCUCGUGUACCCGGGAUGAUAAUGACAGUACCGGGAGAAUAAGCACCGGCUAACUCCGUG